rnacentral:rRNA from 1 species
CAGCAGUCGCCGCGGUAAUACGAAGGGUGCAAGCGUUAAUCGGAAUUACUGGGCGUAAAGCGUGCGUAGGCGGUUUGUUAAGUCUGUUGUGAAAUCCCCGGGCUCAACCUGGGAAUAGCAGUGGAUACUGGCUCGCUAGAGUGUGUCAGAGGAUGGUGGAAUUCCCGGUGUAGCGGUGAAAUGUGUAGAGAUCGGGAGGAACAUCAGUGGCGAAGGCGGCCAUCUGGGACAACACUGACGCUGAGGCACGAAAGCGUGGGGAGCAAACAGGAUUAGAUACCCCAGUAGUCCCUGUCUCUUAUAC